CUUAAUCAGCACGUUGUAGAAAUAUUAAACCACCCAUCGCCUCUCUCCAUCCAUGACUCCUCACCUCACCACCACCACCAAUUUCUUCCCCUCAUGAUGUCGCCCACUCAAAAACCUCCCACUCUCCUCUUGCAACAGCAUCAGCAACCCAACAAAUCAACCCCAACACAACCUCCAUGCGCUCUCCUCCGCAGCCUCAUCGCAACGGCGGCGACCAUCCCUUCCACUCCACCGUGUCGCUCCGGAAACUGAGGCGCUUCAGCUGGAACGAACAGAUUUGUAGUGGAAGCGAAUGCAAUAAUGGUGCUACACUCUUUUCGCCGAGGUCGUCCACCUAUGGUUCGAUUGGCCAUGACCAGAAAAUUGGAGUCUGCUACGCUUUUGUUGAAUAUGAAGACAUUGCUGGCGUUCACAAUGCACUCAAGGUUUGAUUUUUUUGUGGCAUCUCCAAUUCAUUUAGCUGGAAGGCAAGUUUGCACUGAGAGUGGAGCCCAAACAGCGCUGGAGUAGCAGCUCGAAGAUGUGAAUUAUUCAACCCGGAGGAUGGGGCAGUGGCAGCAGCGGUUAUCAAAUUACGAAUUUUUGUCAUACAAUUCAAGGAAAAGUGAAGUCUUUUAAGUGAUAAUUUGUUUGUAAAUGGAGGCGUAUAUCAUACUUGAUAGAUAGUUUCAUAUUUCUUAGGAUAGCUCAUUGAUUUUAAAUGUGAUUUUUUAAUGUAAUUAUUAUAUUGUAGUAAAUAUGUAAACUAUGAUAUACAAGACUGACCAACUAAAUAACUUCAAUGUCCAACUGUCGCGCUUGUCUUGCGACCUGUAACUUUGUAGUUGGAGCCUGCUAUACCCAUA